rnacentral:rRNA from 1 species
UUGACCUCGGAUCAGGUAGGGAUACCCGCUGAACUUAAGCAUAUCAAUAAGCGGAGGAAAAGAAACCAACAGGGAUUGCCCCAGUAACGGCGAGUGAAGCGGCAAGAGCUCAAAUUUGAAAGCUGGCUCCUUCGGGGUCCGCAUUGUAAUUUGCAGAGGAUGCUUCGGGAGCGGUCCCCAUCUAAGUGCCCUGGAACGGGACGUCAUAGAGGGUGAGAAUCCCGUAUGGGAUGGGGUGUCCGCGCCUAUGUGAAGCUCCUUCGACGAGUCGAGUUGUUUGGGAAUGCAGCUCUAAAUGGGUGGUAAAUUUCAUCUAAAGCUAAAUAUUGGCCGGAGACCGAUAGCGCACAAGUAGAGUGAUCGAAAGAUGAAAAGCACUUUGAAAAGAGAGUUAAAAAGCACGUGAAAUUGUUGAAAGGGAAGCGCUUGCGAUCAGACUCGCUCGCGGGGUUCAGCCGGCAUUCGUGCCGGUGUACUUCCCCGCGGGCGGGCCAGCGUCGGUUUGGGCGGUCGGUCAAAGGCCCUCGGAAGGUAACGCCCCCUCGGGGGCGUCUUAUAGCCGAGGGUGCAAU